rnacentral:rRNA from 1 species
GGAUUAGAUACCCUGGUAGUCCAUGCGGUAAACGAUGGGCACUAGGUGUCGGGGGUAUCGACCCCCUCGGUGCCGAAGCUAACGCAUUAAGUGCCCCGCCUGGGGAGUACGGUCGCAAGAUUGAAACUCAAAGGAAUUGACGGGGGCCCGCACAAGCGGUGGAGUAUGUGGUUUAAUUCGAAGCAACGCGCAGAACCUUACCUGGGUUUGACAUGCUUGGGACCGCCGGUGAAAGUCGGCUUCCCCUUCGGGGGCCCUUGCACAGGUGCUGCAUGGCUGUCGUCAGCUCGUGCCG